UGUGGUAUAGAAGCCCACUAACGCAUGUACGUUUUUUCGGUUUAGUGCAUGACUUUGGAGCAGCGUGGUUUCAGGCGGCUGAUGGUAAACCCACCCAUAUUGGGCUUUGGAUUUGGACAUACUGGUUUCGAUUUCCCUUCCCAAAAGAUUGGUUUCAGUUUACUGAUGCUUACGGUUAGAUGUUUCAACGUUGGGUGCACCAACGGCGUUAUUAGAUUUGUUUAUCAUUUAAUGCGCAUGGUUUUGACCAUUGCGCAAGGGGGGAGGUAUUGAGGAGAAUUAGGACAUUUUUUGAAAACAAGGUUUUUCUUCACCAUACUUGCAAACAAUGAUUGACAUCCAGCUAAAUGUGUGUGAAAUAUUUGAAAAAACAGUGUUCAACAGAUGGGUAGAAGCAGUCCCAUCAGAAGACCAAAGUGCGGCUACGGUAACCAAGUUUCUGACUAGAGAAGUCAUGCCAAAGUUUGGAGUUCCGUCACAAAUUAGCUCAGGUGAUAGGGCAGCGUUUAUUCAGAAAACACUCAAACAAGUGAUUUAACAUCUGCAUGUCAAAUAAAGACUAGUCCGUGUCUACAUUCCUCAAACCACAAGGUAUGGUGGAGAGAGGAAUGGGACGCUUAAUUAACAAAAUUAAAUUUGUUACUAAAAAUUUAGUAAAAUUUGAGUACUAAAUUAAAGGACUAAUGCACUACGACUGACACUAAUGAGUUAUCGCAUGAAAACUAACAGAACGACGCAUCUAACCCCGCAUGAAAUGCUUACGGGUCGACCCAUGCCUUCACCUGUCAUUCGAGGGCCUCAUAAAGGACCUCCAUUAGAACAAUUGGAAACUGAAUUAAGACGUUAUAUGGGACAACUAACUGGCAUGCACAGGCUUAUUUUUCAACAAGAGAAAGACAGAGUCCCAGAGUUGGAGAAGGAGCCACCAAGGGGGGUGGAGCCAGGUGACCAAGUGUAUCUCAGGAUGUUCAGGAGAAAGUGGAACGAGCCCAGGAGAGAAGGACCAUACAAAGUCACCAACGCAACAUCAACAGCCAUCCAAGUGGAAGGAAGUGCCACGUGGUAUCAUCUCAACCACUGGACAAAAGCCGCUCAACCCAAGUCCAGGGAUGAGUGUGAGGAGGAGGAGCCAGACGCAGACACACCUGGGGCUGACCAGCUGCCCCAGGACCAGAUCCAGUCGAGCCAAGAGAUUCAGCAACAUGAUGUUGCUGAACAUCAUGUUGCUGAAUCUAAAGCCUGUCUGUUCUGCCAAGCCACAGCUUUAAGAAUACCAGCCCCUGUACCCGCCCUCUACCUCGCCUUCGCCGGCCUCCUGAAGGGUUCCGCCAUCGCCGCUGCCGGCCUUCAGAGGGGUUUCUUUGCCGCUGCUGGCCUCCUGAGGGACUGAGCCCUCGUCGUCCUUGCCGCCGGCCUCCUGAAGGGUUCCGCCUUCACUCUGCCUCUGCUUGCCCCCCAGGCCGUCCGCCUGAGGCUCCCUGCCAUGCCCUGGGGCAGUUUUCUGGCCGCCCGCCUGACACCCCUCCGCUCUGCCCCAGUCCAUUAUUUAUUUUUUUGAUUCCCUCCUCCUGGCUCGCCUCCACCCACCCGAUUUGGGUUUGACUUUCUUCGGUUUUUUUUUGCUUGUCGUGGGUCGCCUGGGAGUCGACCCUUAAGGGGGGGGGUACUGUCAUGGUCUGUCGUGUUUUGGUGUGUUUCCCUGUGUUUCCCUCCUGUGUUGAUUACCGCUCCCUCCCCUAAUGUGUCUCAGCUGUUCCUCGUUGCGUGUCUUGUGUUUGGUAUUUAAGCCCUUGUCUUUCUUUUGUUCCUGGUGCUUUCAUUAUGGUUUGUUGGUCCUGCGUGCUCUCUGUGGCUACCUGUGUUCCCUUACUCCUUGCUCCUUGCCUUAGCCUUUUGGCAGAAAUAAAGUGCCGUUUCCUUUACCCGUCUGCAUCUGGGUCCUACCUGCCAGCCUGCACCCGCA
ensembl:lncRNA